rnacentral:rRNA from 1 species
CCCAGACAGCCAGGAUGUUGGCUUAGAAGCAGCCAUCAUUUAAAGAAAGCGUAAUAGCUCACUGGUCGAGUCGGCCUGCGCGGAAGAUGUAACGGGGCUAAACCAUGCACCGAAGCUGCGGCAGCGAACGUAUCACCCAAGACAACUUUGCGGAGUUGACGAUUGACGGAGCGAAGCGACGUCAAAGCGUUCAUUAAAGUCGAGUUGGCUUAGGGAUACGUUCGUUGGGUAGGGGAGCGUUCUGUAAGCCUGUGAAGGUGUGCUGUGAGGCAUGCUGGAGGUAUCAGAAGUGCGAAUGCUGACAUAAGUAACGAUAAAGCGGGUGAAAAGCCCGCUCGCCGGAAGACCAAGGGUUCCUGUCCAACGUUAAUCGGGGCAGGGUGAGUCGACCCCUAAGGC